GAUGAACGCUGGCGGCGUGCCUAAUACAUGCAAGUCGAGCGAACAGACGAGGAGCUUGCUCCUCUGACGUUAGCGGCGGACGGGUGAGUAACACGUGGAUAACCUACCUAUAAGACUGGGAUAACUUCGGGAAACCGGAGCUAAUACCGGAUAAUAUAUUGAACCGCAUGGUUCAAUAGUGAAAGACGGUUUUGCUGUCACUUAUAGAUGGAUCCGCGCCGCAUUAGCUAGUUGGCAAGGUAACGGCUUACCAAGGCAACGAUGCGUAGCCGACCUGAGAGGGUGAUCGGCCACACUGGAACUGAGACACGGUCCAGACUCCUACGGGAGGCAGCAGUAGGGAAUCUUCCGCAAAGGGCGAAAGCCUGACGGAGCAACGCCGCGUGAGUGAUGAAGGUCUUCGGAUCGUAAAACUCUGUUAUUAGGGAAGAACAAAUGUGUAAGUAACUAUGCACGUCUUGACGGUACCUAAUCAGAAAGCCACGGCUAACUACGUG
rnacentral:rRNA from 1 species